UGGGGAAUAUUGCACAAUGGGGGAAACCCUGAUGCAGCGACGCCGCGUGGGCGAGGAAGUACCUCGGUAUGUAAAGCCCUAUCAGCAGGGAAGAAACAGGACAGUACCUGACUAAGAAGCCCCGGCUAACUACGUGCC
rnacentral:rRNA from 1 species